rnacentral:tRNA from 1 species
GGUCCGGUAGCUCAGCCUGGUCAGAGCACCAGCUUGGUAAGCUGGGGGUCGCGGGUUCAAACCCCGCCCGGACCU